rnacentral:rRNA from 1 species
UACGGAGGGGGCUAGCGUUGUUCGGAAUUACUGGGCGUAAAGGGCUCGUAGGCGGCCAACUAAGUCGGAUGUGAAAUCCCCAGGCUCAACCUGGGAACUGCAUCCGAUACUGGAUGGCUUGAAUCCGGGAGAGGGAUGCAGAAUUCCAGGUGUAGCGGUGAAAUUCGUAGAUAUUGGGAGGAACACCGGUGGCGAAGGCGGCUCCCUGGUCCGAUACUGACGCUCAUGUGCGAAAGCGUGGGGAGCAAACAGG